rnacentral:rRNA from 1 species
GAUGAACGCUGGCGAGAUGCUUUACACAUGCAAGUCGUACGAGAGUUUUAAACUCAAGUGGCGGACGGGUGAGUAACACGUAAGAAUUUACCUUUAGGAGGGGGACAACAGCUGGAAACGGCUGCUAAUACCCCAUAUGCUUUCGAGUGAAAUGGAUUUUUCCGCCUAAAGAGAAGCUUGCGGCUGAUUAGCUUGUUGGUAAGGUAAUGGCUUACCAAGGCGACGAUCAGUAUCUGGUUUGAGAGGACGAUCAGACACACUGGAACUGAGACACGGUCCAGAUUCCUACGGGAGGCAGCAGUGGGGAAUUUUCCGCAAUGGGCGAAAGCCUGACGGAGCAAUCUCGCGUGAGGGAUGACUGCCUACGGGUUGUAAACCUCUUUUUUUCAGGGAGGAAUCAAUGACGUGUACCUGAAGAAUAAGCAUCGGCUAACUCCGUGCCAGCAGCCGCGGUAAGACGGAGGAUGCAAGUGUUAUCCGGAAUCACUGGGCGUAAAGCGUCUGUAGGUGGUUUAAUAAGUCAACUGUUAAAUCUUGAAGCUCAACUUCAAAAUCGCAGUCGAAACUAUUAGACUAGAGUAUAGUAGGGGUAAAGGGAAUUUCCAGUGGAGCGGUGAAAUGCGUAGAGAUUGGAAAGAACACCGACGGCGAAGGCACUUUACUGGGCUAUUACUGACACUCAGAGACGAAAGCUAGGGUAGCAAAUGGGAUUAGAUACCCCAGUAGUCCUAGCCGUAAACAAUGGAUACUAGAUGUUGAACAGAUCGACCUGUGCAGUAUCAAAGCUA